rnacentral:rRNA from 1 species
GAUGAACGCUGGCGGCGUGCCUAAUACAUGCAAGUCGAGCGAACAGACGAGGAGCUUGCUCCUCUGACGUUAGCGGCGGACGGGUGAGUAACACGUGGAUAACCUACCUAUAAGACUGGGAUAACUUCGGGAAACCGGGGCUAAUACCGGAUAAUAUAUUGAACCGCAUGGUUCAAUAGUGAAAGACGGUUUUGCUGUCACUUAUAGAUGGAUCCGCGCCGCAUUAGCUAGUUGGUAAGGUAACGGCUUACCAAGGCGACGAUGCGUAGCCGACCUGAGAGGGUGAUCGGCCACACUGGAACUGAGACACGGUCCAGACUCCUACGGGAGGCAGCAGUAGGGAAUCUUCCGCAAUGGGCGAAAGCCUGACGGAGCAACGCCGCGUGAGUGAUGAAGGUCUUCGGAUCGUAAAACUCUGUUAUUAGGGAAGAACAAAUGUGUAAGUAACUAUGCACGUCUUGACGGUACCUAAUCAGAAAGCCACGGCUAACUACGCG